CAUACGCUAAGACUCGUUAGAAUCGAUAUCAUUGUUCUCUUCUACAAAUAUAUUCGUUGGUUCGUUUUUUCCGAUUAUAAUAAAUAUGAUUCAUUUUUCAUUCUGACUAGACAGAUAUAGAAAAUAGUUAAUGCGUUAUCGUCGGAGAAUUAAAAUUCACGUCUAGCGCAGUAAUGAAAUUUUAAUGCGAUAAUUAACGAUUUUCUCAACGCUGAUAUCUCACGUGACUCGGAAAUAUUUUUUUUUUUCGCUGUGCAUUGCUGUUAGAACGAUCGCAAAUAAAGAGGAUACGUUACUGCACGUUAUUUUUUCAAAUAUUUUUUGUUGCGUACAACAGAAUAAGUAAAAAAUAGCUGACCAAUAAAAAUGGAAUUUUCUACGAAAAUUUCCACCACGAUUUUAAACACGCGACCUCACUUCACAAAGGCAGGCAAAUUAAAAUAAAAGAAACCUUUUGUUCAUUUCCGGGUGGAAACACAACAUAUCGCGAAUAUUUGAUUCGUAACUAACCUUCCGAUUGUCACUGGACAAUAACUUCUCGCGCGUCAAAUUAUCGGAGAUCGCAUCCGCUAAAAAUGAUCCAAUCGGACCCGUUGCAAAUGCAAGGACCAGUUUACAUAAAAAAUAAUACAGAAGGACGAAUAACAUUUCGACUAGAAUUCGAAACACGUGGAAUCACUUUGCCAAUAUAGAAAUAGCAAAACAACGAUUCUGCGAUUCAUUGUUUCAAUGAACAAACGAUAUAUCGAGGCUGUGUAAAAUAAAACGGAAAAAAGGGGGGAGAUUUUUAAUUGAGAUACAAAGCGCGUAAAAUCGUUCCACGUUGGUAAACUAAAAAAAGAUUAGAACAAGGAUCUUUUAUCCAUACUGUAACAAGUCAUUUCAGUAUUCGUUAUUUCAAACAAUGGACGAACUUUGAAACGAAAGAUAUAAAUCACGGUAUACCAGACGUGAAAUCAUCUUAGCAAACUAAAUGAAAAUAAUACAUUCUUUUGUGUAUAUUUUCAAUGAAAACAUCAAUUAUUGAGAACGUUCGUCUCUCUCGUUAACGUUUCCGUGAAAAUGUUCCAUGAAACUGGAUCGCGAAUCGACGAGCCCUCGUUUCUGCUCGUAAAUUUGCAACCAUAUAAACAGUUCGCGGCUUGAUCGGAUGUUCAUCAGCCCGACGUUAAUUUUGCUUGAGUGUGGUUCACGUGAACGAGAGAGGAAGGUCGUGGCCACGAGUCUGGUCGUUUUAUCAAACGCUCGUUAAGUUCAUUGAAAAUUCAGCCGCUUACACCGUUCGCUACAGAGAGGCGAAUCUACGAUCGAUAACGAAACGACGAUUCUUGUUUUAUCGAGAUCUUGCAAUUUUAAUUAUAUCUUCGUUAGGUAUGAAAUUAUUCUUUCCAACGUUUUCGAAUUCAAUUAUAUUUUUCCAGCUUAUUAAACAAAUUAUCGUCGCAGUUUCUACGAAAUAGGAAAAACAAGUCUGCUUUAGUAGGAAUAAUUUUCCGCUUCAAUUAUCUGUGUUCGCUCAAACGGUUUUUAUCUGCAAAAAGGUGGAGUAAAAUUGAAACAUAAAAAUCGAAGAAUCGUAACAGGGUUGAAUCCACACCCUUUUACUGUCUCCUGCAAGUCUCUUAAAAACCUACCAUUUUCAUUCUUUUUUCCCAUCGUCCCAGUUCUUCUCUUCGUUAUCUAUCCUUGCAAAGAGAUAAAGAGAGAGAGAAAGAGAGAGAGAGAGAGAGAGAGAGAGAGAGAGAGAGCCACUGAAAGUAGAUCGAUCCAGCAACCCCUGAAAUCGAUAACCCACGCACGAUUCCAGUCUUCCACGCUAGACAACCCGUUUUCACCCGGGUACUUGUUGAGCGUGGAAUUCCAAUUCUCGUAAUGGAUUCCAUCGAUCGCCGGGAAUAUCGAGGGACCCAUUGAAAAAUCCCUGUCGCAGUUGACCAUCGUUUCUCGCUCUCUGCACGCGAAUUUAGAACGAAGGGCUUCAUAUUCGGCGGUUGCGGUGGGUUGCAAGGUGCAUCGAUGAUGCACUCCAGCUACGCGACUGCCUUUUUAAGCAAAUCAUAGGGGGAGUUUGCACGGUUCGAAGCGAAAUGUGCGAGUUGCCGAAGAAAUCGAUGGGGAGGGGUAUGAAUUUUGUAUGAGCUCGCAGAGAGCAAUGUUAGUUGCGUCUUGUGACAUGCGACGUUUCACGUACUGUAGUGGGUUAGACGAAAAAUGUCGUUCGAUUUACAGAGAUUUUUUCUUUUUUCUUUUUUUUUUUUUUUUUUUUUUGAUAUUACAGAUACGUCGAUUUGACGAUAUUUUUAACAUUUUAGAUAUCUCUCGUAGAUAUUUGUAUUUUGUUAUUUGCUCUGUUAUUUGUAUUUACUCUGGUUUAGUUAUUUACGUUUGGGAUUAUUCGUAAUAGUUGGGUGGAAGCGAGAGAAUUGGUUCGAACUUAUCGGAACAAUAGAAAGCUCGUAGAAGGCAACGUAUUAUUUCUGUUUGAUUUUCGAUAAUAGAACUCGCGGUUCUACACUCGCGUGCAACUGAAAAGCCUUCGAAAACUCAAAUUUCUAUAUCCGUGUCUGAGACGAAAAAUGCGGAAAAAUUAAAGCCACGGGCGAGUGCUUCACAAAUAUUAAUACUCUGUCUGAGAUAUCCAGCGUCGAAAACUCUCCGGCAAAAAGGAUGACGUCAUGCGAUUACGCUUGCACCGGAUACUUACGGUCAAUAUUUAGCGAUCGAGUCACGGUUCGUUUAAGCCUAGAACAAAGAAUGUUCGCCGAAUGCCGAGGCUAAUUUAAAAGAACCCGCGGCCCCGUGCACGCGAUUUAAUCGUCCACGAUUGAUCGACGACAAUUGGACGAAACCUAUUGAAUUGUGUGGAGAACAAGAAUCGACGAGUUUCAUCGUGAAUUCACAAGUGGAAGAUUCAUAUCCUCUGUUGUUCAAGAUGCUCUGAAAGAUUCUCUCGACAUGCGUUUCGUUUCUGGGAAAAAUUAGAAAAUAAGUAGGUUAUCGAUGCGCUAUCGUGUUUUUCCAAGCCUAACGAAACAAAUUGAAAUUUGUCUCAUCCGCUGAAUACUACGCCAAGUACAGUAGACUAUUCUUUGUUCGAACUAACAGGGAGACGAAACUCUGUUCGAAUAAAGGAAUUUUCGGACAGUGGAAGAGUCGCUUGUCCGAUAUGAAAUUUCGUUUGUUCGAAUAGAUACGGAUUAAGAUGAAUGGAGGAAUUUUUUAAUUAAAUUUAUAUAAUUUAUAAUUAAAAACGAAGAUACUACACUGCUCUCUCGUGAUGCAUGGAAUAUGCAUCUGUCGUUCGAUCUUCCCAUCAAAUCACGUGCAAACAGUUAAUCGAGAAAGUUGAGCGUGGCUUUCUCAGAUUUGCACCCUUUAAUCCUCGGACUACCGUAAUGGGUCGUUUUGGAUUCACUUGGUACGCUCCUCGUUUUCGUAGCACUUUCGCGUGUGAUUCUCUGCAUACGUAAUGCAAUAUUUCCAAUUCCAAUAAUAAUGGCUUUAUUGAAAAACUAUAUAGGAAUAGAAAUGAGUAGCUUUUUACUUAUUAUUUUUCGAUAAAUCGUAGAUACGAAUAAAUUAAAAAGGAAACAUAAACGAAUAAUACGAUGUAAAUGCAUAGAUCCAGCUACAAUGUAAAUACAAUGAUUUUUGAUUGAUCAAUGAUACAUGACGUUGGCAAAUAUCACAUUGGGUCAAUAUAAUCCCGCGAUGGUAAAACUGGGUCAGAAAAUUGCCCUUACGAAUCUCCAUUAUAUUGCAAUCGCGAAUAAAAUUAAUACAUGUACUUUUGAAUCGAGGAGAACUGCCGCCUAUUCGAUGUUCUUACUUAAGCUGAUCAAUGGCUUUAUUAGUUGGCCGCAACUUCUGUCGUUGAUACAUUUUUAUGCCCACUCAAGGUCGCCGAGUUGUGUGCGUUCUUUUCAUUCGAUUUAUUACUUGACAAGAGUAUUAGGCAACUUCGAUCUCUUUCAUCCAGUCUGUAUUACAGCGAACAUCUUCCAUGUACGUUCAAACUUCUUUUGCCACAGUUUUCCUACAAUUUUCGUGUAACGUAACACGUUUCAACUGCUCCCGUCUUCAGAUUCCUAUCUUUCUACGCUAGUUUCCACAUUUAGAAGAAUUUUUCCGAUAAACUAUAAUAAUUUUCUCAACGUAAGUAACGACACAGAGUUACGUUCCUUUUGUACUUUGAACCAUCGAUGACUUUUUUCCAAUGGCGCGAGUGCUUGGACACGACGAACCACCUCUCCGUUACCAUUUUCGUUUGCUGCUUCCAUUUGUAUAAAAUCGUCGUUAUUAUCGCCUUUAUUGCGACGAAACCAUCGCAUUGCAUCAGUAUAUGUACAGUUUCUCCACUGUUGCCAGCAUCUGAGAGCAAUCUACGUGCUUUAGAUAACUUUCAAUAUCACGUUCUUGGUUUCUAAUUCGUCCGCGACCCUCGUGGCUUUUCCAACAUUUUUCGCUAAUUCUGUCCCACAUACGAUAUUUUGUUUAAAAAAAGAAGAAAAAGGACACACUGUAUACGAACCACGAUGGAAUAUUUGAAACGGAAAAAGGCACUCGUUACUGGGAAAUAUUAUAUUCGGAUAAAGUAGGCUCUACUGUACCGUACGUUAGAUUUCUCGUGCUUUUCGGAAUUUUGAAUGUGCUAUUAAAUGCAGAAAAAUUCACAGUCCAGUUGUCAACAGUCGAUUAGAUCACGUGGUUUCUUUCUUCCGUACGAUAAAUUAUUCCGGCGAAAAAAAAAAAUUGUCGCUAAUUUGGAACCAUUGCCAAAAAAAGGAGGGGGGGAAUGAACUGUCCUAUCUAACUUUAAAAAUCGUAUCCCCAGAAGAAUCAAAUCAGUGCUCCAUGUGCAACGCAUCGUUUGACAUUGUAAAACAUAUCGAAGUUCGAAGUACACGAACACGACUGGAACGUAUUAUGACAAAAUUACGAUAUAAAUUCGCAUAAGUUGACCCGUAGCUUCUACGAUUUCAAGAUAAAUCGAGAGUUCGGUCGUAAAGAACGAACCACGAUAGUCUGGAUAAGAUGAAGACACGCUUAAUUGACACAUACAUACAAUAAUGUGCGCACUGGAAAAUAUCAUUGAAAAUGUGACAUCUGCAAUGUGAUACUAUCAAUCAUCCACAUUGUCUCGCAUAGUCGUAAAGCGCCCUAUGUACAACGCAGACAGGAAAAAGUAUAACGUCGACGAUAAUCUUAAGUACAUACCCACGUUGAUCUCGUUCCAACAAAAGAUUAUUCACUGACUAAGUCGUCAAUAGACGGCUUCAAUAAAACGGCUUUAAAUAAAAUAAACAAUAAGAAUGACCGUUACGAGGAAAGAUUAUCAGUAUAAAAAUGUUGCAGACAUUUCUCCAGCAAUUAGAGUCUCGUGAAAAUCUUAUUUAUACAGGGUGGUUGGUAACUGGUGGUCCAAACGGAAAGGGGGUGAUUCUACGCGAAAAAAGAAGUCGAAAAUAUAGAAUAACAAUUUUUCGUUCGAGGCUUUGUUUUCGAGAAAAUCGACUUUGAAUUUUCGCUCGGUGCGCGUCCGGUACGUUAUAACGGAUCUCACUGUAGAUCGUUGUCUCGAUGGGAAAAUUAAAAAAAAAAAAAAAAAUCGCCCCCUUUCCACUUGGACCACCAGUUACCAACCACCCUGUAUAUCUCGAUAGUUUACUCGAUAGAAAGCAAUUUUGACGCUUUUGUUUAUUUACGUGUAGCACUGUGCUGUAUCCUACGUAUUAUUAUUAUUAUUUUAAUUAUUAUUAUUAUUAUUAUUAUUAUUAGUUGUGUGCCAACUAAAAGGCUGGUUUUCCAGAGAUGAGAACUAAGAAUGAAACAAAAGGAACAUUUGAACUCGUUCUCAUUCUUCUUGUUCGUAAAUCCGAUUUAAUUACGUUAAAAAACAGUUCUCCGCUUCUACCGCGAAAAACGUACUUUUUCGCAGUCGUAUCGCGUUCUUCGCAAGGAUGCGAUUUCUUUCUACAUUUAUUGUAAUUCGUUUUUGUUUAUGAAUCGUAACGGUUCGCGGAUUUAAACGUUAGAUUCAGCUAGAAUCAAACAUACGCUAAUCAUUUAUUAUCCGUGUUAUAGUACCACGUCGGAAUAAUUUACUUAUAAUUCUCAAUGAGAAUUGAUUGUAAACUACCCGCAAAUAAAUAAAAAAAAAAAAAUAAAAAUAAAAA